rnacentral:lncRNA from 1 species
AGGAAAAGAGGAUGAAAUUUUUUUGUAUAUAAUGGAAUGAUGUGGUGUAGGAAGAAAUGUAGUGAAGGUAUUUAUAGGAAGAGUUUUGGAAUUGGGAAGAGAAGUGGGUGAGAAAAAAUUAAUGGGGAUAGAGAGGUGAGUUGAAUGGGGGUAAAGAGGAAUUGGAAAGGGGAGUAACGGUCUGGUCAUAACGGUCAACAACAUUUACGAG